rnacentral:rRNA from 1 species
AUUGAACGCUGGCGGAAUGCUUUACACACGCAAGUCGAACGGCAGCACGGACUUCGGUCUGGUGGCGAGUGGCGAACGGGUGAGUAAUACAUCGGAACGUGCCCAAUCGUGGGGGAUAACGUAGCGAAAGCUACGCUAAUACCGCAUACGAUCUAAGGAUGAAAGCGGGGGAUCGCAAGACCUCGCGCGAUUGGAGCGGCCGAUGGCAGAUUAGGUAGUUGGGGGGGUAAAGGCCUACCAAGCCGACGAUCUGUAGCUGGUCUGAGAGGAUGAUCAGCCACACUGGGACUGAGACACGGCCCAGACUCCUACGGGAGGCAGCAGUGGGGAAUUUUGGACAAUGGACGCAAGUCUGAUCCAGCCAUUCCGCGUGCAGGAUGAAGGCCCUCGGGUUGUAAACUGCUUUUGUACAGAACGAAAAGGCUCUGGUUAAUACCUAGGGCUCAUGACGGUACUGUAAGAAUAAGCACCGGCUAACUACGUGCCAGCCGCCGCGGUAA